UAAAAGCAUGACUAAGUUUUUUUUUUUUUUGAAAGAAAAGUGUAGAGUGUAUAGAUGUAGGCGCCAAGGGGGCUACCAUGUACAAAAUGAGAAAUUUACAGAUCAGUAAGAAUAUUUACAGUAGCACCAAAAUCAUCCAAACAAUUAAGGUUGUGCCCUAAGAUAAUGGAACCAAAGAGGUGUAACGAUUUAUCCUUGAUGUUGGCAAAAUUCUCUUCAAGACCCUCAAAAAUUCUGUUGUCUCUUUCUUUCCAGACAACCCAGAAAAUUGUUAGUGGUAUUAGUCUGUAAUGUUUGUUUUUAGCAGCAAUACUCUCCCAAGCAAGGAGUUCAGCUUUCACAGAACCAGCAAUUACCCAUUGAAUCCCCAUGAGGCUGAAAAUAUCAUUCCAAAGGCCGUAUGUGAUAGGACACCAUAGUAAUGAGCAUCUGCAUGUUUCUGGACUGGCUUUGCAUAAUGAACAUCUAUUAACCAAGUGGAAACCCCUCUUCAUUAGAUUGUCCAAAGUCAAAAUGUGUUCCUUGGUUGCUUCCCAAGCAAAGAAGGAAAUUCUGGGUGGAGCAUGCGUCUUCCAGAUCAUUUUAUGGGGGAAUAUAAUUUGGUUUUCAGCAGAGAAAUUCUCCAGGUGCUUAAGUAUAGAAGUGACAGAAAAAGUACCUUUUUUGUUCAGUUUUCAGUUGAGUCUAUCAUCUCUGUUACUCAAAUGAAUAGUGCAAAGAAUCUGAUUUAAUUCCAUGUAUUCCUCUGCUUCCCAGUCUUGUAAAUUGCGAGUAAUAACCACAUUCCCGGUAAAGAUAGAUUUCCUUCGAAGGCGCUCUCAACCAGCAUGUGUUUAUCUCUUGCAAUAGCAAAAAUACAGGAAAAACGGGUUUGAAAGUUGGUAUUUUCAAACCACACUUUUUUCCAGAACUUUAUUGCCUCUGCCAAUAACCCAAUCAGAACAAUUCUCAACAAUGUGACUGAGUUGCAUGAAGUUUUUCCAUAAGCUCCUCCCAUAGGGGCUGUUUUCUACCUUGGUCAAAAAGCAUGACUAAGUUACCAUCCUUGUUAAGAAAAAAUCAAAUUCAUUACUAUAAAUAAUAACUCAUUAACAAAAAUAAUAAAGUAACCCUUGAAAAAAAUUAGAAUGUUACCAGCCAUCCUUCUAAGAAAAUAAAAAUAACUCAACCAAAAUGAUUAUGAAUAAUUUUAGGAAACCACCUACUUCAAGGAGGGAUAAUCUUAGAAUGUUGAAGAACAUUUUGGAAAAAGAAAAGGAGAGAGAGAGAGAGAGAGAGAGAGAAGCUAAGUUCUUGGGUAGAUGGUAAAUAGUAAUUUAGGAAAAUUAGAAAGUUGGACGGGUGUGUUAGUACAUGAAAAUUUUUUAAGUUUUGUAACAAAGUUGGAACAAAUUAGUUCACCAAAAUAUAGGAACAAAGCUGUUCCUUAUUCUUAUUAUUAUUAUUAAUUUCUUUUCUGAUGAUCAUUAAGCACCAAAUAUUGAUCUGGACUUUUUUGUGUUUAUUCAGUCCUCUAAAUCAAGUGGUACUAAAUGCUAUCUUUGUUUUCUGUGGGUAGAAAGAACUACCAAAGUUCUAGCUUUAUGAGUGUUCAUUAAUUUUGAUGGUGCAACUUGAGGAUUCAAUUGUUGGCUUGAAUCUCCCUGUUUCUCAAUGUCGCUCAUGACAUUAGCACAUCUCCCUCCUGUUGAGUAUGAUAUUCACUUAAUUGACUUUCAUUUAAUGACAGGAUCUCACUGAAGCUGCAUCAGCUGAUGAACUGGCCCGAUAUCUAGACCUUAAGAAGUUGGAUGAAAGGAUUUAUGUGUUUGAAGCUGUUUCAGCACACGAAGGGAUGGGGAUAAAAGAGAGUGUAGAGUGGCUGGUGGAGGUGAUGGAGAGAAGCAGUAGAACUGAAAUGUUGAGAGUCCGUGCAGGCGUAACAGGCCCCAUCACUUAAAGAAACACUACUGAAUUGCUGUUGUUUUGCCCUGUGAUUGUAGCUUCUGUAAAUAAACCAGGGUUUUGCCUCAUAUUUUCAUAUGAUUAAAAUUCAAAUCAAUUUUUGUCUACCCCCUUUAAGCUUCUCUCCUCUUUGACUGGUAAUAGAGUUUUUACCUUACAGUUUAUGUGAAUUGGCGAUGUACAAUUGAAAACACCUCAGGUUUCCGCAAGUGACUUGAUGGUAUUUUGCUUUCAGGAUUGUAAAAAAAGGUUGAAAGAGAGCACGAGUCUGAAAUGUCUCAGCUCACAGAAAUUUAGAGGAUAAUAGAGAACAAUUUCGUUUGAAGUCUAA